AUCUGAUAUUAAAAAAUAAUAAAAAGUUCAGUAUUCAUGGUAAAAAAAAGUUUAUUCAGUAUAAAGUGAGUUUCUAUUAGGAUUAGAAAAAAAAAUCUUGAAUGGAGAUUGGAUUGGAAAAAUCGUAGAAUACAAUACAAAGAGAAUUCAUUCACCAUUCACCAACUUGAAUAUAGAAAUGUUCUCUUUUCAAAGUUUUUUGUCCAGUCCUUCCCCAAAUCCUGUGCAUAUCAGGAGUGUUAGUGCGCUGGGCUGCCCUUUAUGUGUUCUUACUAGCAGAUAUGAGUCAACAUUUGUUGGUUUUUGAAUCUGCUAUAAAUCAAGUGUACAAGUUGUUUUUUUGCUAACCAUUCUGCUUAAAUUCGUAGGUAAGACUAAUAUUGCUUUACCGUUGGACAAGUUGUCUUUGGAUUUAUUAAAACUAGUGGAGGGGACGUCAAGUCCUGUGAGGAGGUAAAUUUAGUAUGUGAUCUUGGACUAGCCUUUCUAACAUUAGUUUAUACUGUUUGAUUUAACGUCUAGUAGUUGUCACAUCAAAGUUACAAUGUUGAUUCACUUGUAGUUUUGUUUUGUAUAAUGCCCUUUUGCCUUUUUUUUCUUCCAUUAGAGUUGUCAAUUCACAGUUGUCAUGAAUUAUGCUUAUUUAUGAUGAACUUAAGCUGCCCAAAAUGGUAGGUUUCACUGUUUUUAAGAAAUGUAUUGGCAUUCAUAUUGGAAAGGGGAAGUUCAUUUUGACACAUAUAGUCUCUUUGAUCUUUUCUCCAUUUCCUUAUUUAUGCCUUCUCUUCGUCAAGUUUAUAACAUAUGCUUGCUAGGAUAAUUGUAUUGUGCCCUUGAUAGGGGAUAGGUUCUCUCAACAUCAGUUUAUAUUUAACAACAGAGACUCUCAACUAAAAGCUAUAAGAAUGAACUUACCAUCUUUAGCUACUGGGGUGCUGCAAGAAAUUGUAUGACGAUGCAACUCAAAGGUUGAGUUCGGGACUAUGGUGAGCAUCAUUGAGGAAUUACAAUUUUUAGUUAAGGUCUUCUUCACUGGUGAGAGAGUUGGUGUCGGAAUGGGUAAGACUAAGAAGGAUACUCAACAACAGGCAGCUAAGAAUGCACUUUGUAACUUGGCUGUGUUUCUGCAGCUAUCUACCGGGGGAGAUAAGGAACCCUACAACAUUUAAAUGUGAGUUGUCAUAUGAGGAUAUGCUAAAAGUAUCAUGCAGGUCAGGACAUGCGGGGAGACUUUGGGAAAUCUGGAGACUAUACUCAAUGGUUACGAAAAUGUAGAAGUGGUUCCUUCUUUAUUUGUCUUCAUGGCAAAUUUCUGCUCUCGGCCAUUUAAUCUUUAAUUUAAGUCAAUCUCAAGUCUCAGGCAAGUGGAAGUUGGUAGCAGGUACCCAAUGGUACCACGCCAUAAUAAAAGUGAAGAUUAUGUCUUACAUUAUUAAACUGCAGACCAGAGAGAUCAGCUGCUUCUUCAAGAUAUAUGAAUAGUUCAGAGUAUACUUUGGGUUGAUGUGAGAAAAUCAGAAUUGAUAUCAGAUGGAGAAGUGUGUGAUAACAUGGACCUCACAAUGAUGUUUGUUUGUAAGUUGUGUUACUGCUUGUGAAAUAUGAAAAAAUUAAAAUAUGUAGAACUUAAUCUUAUUUUGAAUUAUGAGAUUAUUAAUGAAUGAUUUUUUUUAUGAUUG